AGCUCGCCCUGCACCUCCAGACCCUCCUCCAGACCUGACGGUGACAUCACAGCGAGAAGGAAAACAUCCUUCAGCAUGUCAGUACCUGUUAUGGAACUCGUAGAUGUCCUGGAUGUUUCCAAACACGAUGUCGUCCUUGUUGGUCAGACCAGCAGGAACGUCCUCUGAGCCGCUCGUCAUCUCCCACAGACACUAAACCCUACCUGUGAGCACCCUCCCAGCGCCGUCUCCAGCAGGUGGCGGUACUGUCCCAUCCUGACGGUGAAGUCCCGGUA